rnacentral:rRNA from 1 species
ACAGCAGCCGCCGCGGGAAUACGGAGGGUGCAAGCGUUAAUCGGAAUUACUGGGCGUAAAGCGCACGCAGGCGGUUUGUUAAGUCAGAUGUGAAAUCCCCGAGCUUAACUUGGGAACUGCAUUUGAAACUGGCAAGCUAGAGUCUUGUAGAGGGGGGUAGAAUUCCAGGUGUAGCGGUGAAAUGCGUAGAGAUCUGGAGGAAUACCGGUGGCGAAGGCGGCCCCCUGGACAAAGACUGACGCUCAGGUGCGAAAGCGUGGGGAGCAAACAGGAUUAGAUACCCCAGUAGUCCCUGUCUCUUAUAC